CAAUAGCGUAUAUUUAAGUUGCUGCAGUUAAAAAGCUCGUAGUUGGAUUUCGGGUGGGAAUGGCCGGUCCGCCGUUUCGGUGUGCACUUGCUACGCCCACCUUGCUGCCGCGGACGUGCUCUUGAGUUCACGCUCGGGACACGGAGUCGGCGAGGUUACUUUGAGUAAAUUAGAGUGUUCAAAGCAGGCCUACGCUCUGAAUACAUUAGCAUGGAAUAACACGAUAGGACUCUGGCCUAUCUUGUUGGUCUGUAGGACCGGAGUAAUGAUUAAGAGGGACAGUCGGGGGCAUUCGUAUUUCAUUGUCAGAGGUGAAAUUCUUGGAUUUAUGAAAGACGAACUACUGCGAAAGCAUUUGCCAAGGAUGUUUUCAUUAA
rnacentral:rRNA from 1 species